AGCACGAGGGGCGGAGCCUCGGAGCCCGGGCACCCCUGACGGGCUGCACUGGGGAGGGGGAGGAGCCUCGAGGCCGGUUUGGAAUUUUUGGCGCGAGCAGCUCCGCGCGCGUUCACGGGCCGUUCCCCCUCACGGGAGUUCUCCGCCCGGGCGUCCGGAACAGUCGACGGCAGACUCCGGCCCGCUGAGCCACCCGAGGGGUCCCGUGGCCUCCGCGGACCCGGAAUCUGGGCCCUCGCGGACCCGCGCCCCGCCCAGUCGCCCCAGGGUUUCCCCACACCCACGGAGUGAACUCAGCCGCGGCCCAGCCUGGGAGGAACUUACCGUCUACUGGGAAAGGUGGCCAGCAGAUGUGUCGGGCCUGGUGAGAGGGUGAGGCGAGACGGCCCGAUCGCCCAGGGCCCCGGAAGCUGCGGAGGUCACCCCCGCCUGGCCUUAGCUCAGGGACACCCUGGAUUCACGUGGGAGCCCCUGCUCCUGCCUCCCCCAUCCCACCACUGAGGCUGUUGGGCCAGGCCAGUCAUGCUAGAACGGCCUCCUGCACUGGCCAUGCCCGUGCCCACGGAGGGCACCCCGCCACCUCUGAGUGGCACCCCCAUCCCAGUCCCGGCCUACUUCCGCCACGCAGAACCUGGAUUCUCCCUCAAGAGGCCCAGGGGGCUCAGCCGGAGCCUCCCACCUCCGCCCCCUGCCAAGGGCAGCAUUCCUAUCAGCCGCCUCUUCCCUCCUCGGACCCCAGGCUGGCACCAGCUGCAGCCCCGGCGGGUGUCAUUCCGGGGCGAGGCCUCAGAGACUCUGCAGAGCCCUGGGUAUGACCCAAGCCGGCCAGAGUCCUUCUUCCAGCAGAGCUUCCAGAGGCUCAGCCGCCUGGGCCAUGGCUCCUACGGAGAGGUCUUCAAGGUGCGCUCCAAGGAGGACGGCCGGCUCUAUGCGGUAAAGCGUUCCAUGUCACCAUUCCGGGGCCCCAAGGACCGGGCCCGCAAGUUGGCCGAGGUGGGCAGCCACGAGAAGGUGGGGCAGCACCCAUGCUGCGUGCGGCUGGAGCAGGCCUGGGAGGAGGGCGGCAUCCUGUACCUGCAGACGGAGCUGUGCGGGCCCAGCCUGCAGCAACACUGUGAGGCCUGGGGUGCCAGCCUGCCUGAGGCCCAGGUCUGGGGCUACCUGCGGGACACGCUGCUUGCCCUGGCCCAUCUGCAUGGCCAGGGCCUGGUGCACCUUGAUGUCAAGCCUGCCAACAUCUUCCUGGGGCCCCGGGGCCGCUGCAAGCUGGGUGACUUCGGACUGCUGGUGGAGCUGGGUACAGCAGGAGCUGGUGAGGUCCAGGAGGGAGACCCCCGCUACAUGGCCCCCGAGCUGCUGCAGGGCUCCUAUGGGACAGCAGCGGAUGUGUUCAGUCUGGGCCUCACCAUCCUGGAAGUGGCAUGCAACAUGGAGCUGCCCCACGGUGGGGAGGGCUGGCAGCAGCUGCGCCAGGGCUACCUGCCCCCUGAGUUCACUGCCGGUCUGUCUUCCGAGCUGCGUUCUGUCCUUGUCAUGAUGCUGGAGCCAGACCCCAAGCUGCGGGCCACGGCCGAGGCCCUGCUGGCACUGCCUGUGUUGAGGCAGCCGCGGGCCUGGGGUGUGCUGUGGUGCAUGGCAGCGGAGGCCCUGAGCCGAGGGUGGGCCCUGUGGCAGGCCCUGCUUGCCCUGCUCUGCUGGCUCUGGCAUGGGCUGGCUCACCCUGCCAGCUGGCUACAGCCCCUGGGCCCGCCAGCCACCCCGCCUGGCUCACCACCCUGCAGUUUGCUCCUGGACAGCAGCCUCUCCAGCAACUGGGAUGACGACAGCCUAGGUCCAUGUGUUCUGAAAAGGACAGAGGGGGCCUUGGAGUGCAGCCAGAUGGAAGGACUUUGAAGGCUGUCCAAGUGCUGCUUUCAGAGUGCACCAAGUUUUUAUUGUCCCUGACUGUGGCUCCCUGCCUGUUUGUCAGGCGGGAGCCUGGAGCCUGCACAGGGACAGAGCUGGUUUCAUCCGGCACUCCCUAGCCCUGGACACCCUCCUUGUCUCGCCUGCCCUCCUGCAGGCCCUCACUCUCCCCUGAGGCUGUCCUGGCCCGGACUGUGGGGAGCACCUCCACCCCCCGGAGCAGGUGCACACCCAGGGAUGCCCUGGACCUAAGUGACAUCAACUCAGAGCCUCCUCGGGGCUCCUUCCCCUCCUUUGAGCCUCGGAACCUCCUCAGCCUGUUUGAGGACACCCUAGACCCAACCUGAGCCCCAGACUCUGCCUCUGCACUUUUAACCUUUUAUCCUGUGUCUCUCCCGUCGCCCUUGAAAGCUGGGGCCCCUCGGGAACUCCCAUGGUCUUCUCUGCCUGGCCGUGUCUAAUAAAAAGUAUUUGAACCUUG